rnacentral:rRNA from 1 species
AUUGAACGCUGGCGGCAGGCUUAACACAUGCAAGUCGAACGAGCGGCGGACGGGUGAGUAAUGUCUGGGAAACUGCCUGAUGGAGGGGGAUAACCACUUGAAACGGUAGCUAAUACCGCCUACCCUCCGAUUUGCCCAUUUGGGAUUAGGUAGUAGGUGGGGUAAUGGCUCCCCUAGGCGACGAUCCCUAGCUGGUCUGAGAGGAUGACCAGCCACACGGGAACGGAGACACGCUCCAGACUCCUACGGGAGGCAGAGGUGGGGAAUAUUGCAAAAGGGGCGAAAGCCUGCUGCAGCCAGGCCGGGUGGGUGAGGAAGGCUUUCGGGUUGUAAAGUACGUUCAGCGAGAAGGCGGUACUCGAAGAAGAAGCACCGGCUAACUACGUGCCAGCAGCCGCGGUAAUAC